CUUGACCGAGCCCACCAGCAGCGGGUGUUUCUCCGAAUGGGCUUUUCCGUACGUCGCGAGCAGCGCGUGCGCUUC
rnacentral:antisense_RNA from 1 species